rnacentral:rRNA from 1 species
UAUUAGUCAAUGCUCGCAAGAGUGAACUAGCUAACUGAAAUCAACAAUGUGUCAUUGUUGAUAAGGUAAGGGAAAAGAAAUGAUACUACCUUACUAUUAGUGUCGUCCAAAUACUCGUGCCAGAAGACUCGGUAAGGCGAGAGACGCAAACGUUAGUCGUCUUAAUCAGGCGUAAAGGGUUUGUAGGCGGCUUUAAGAAUUUAUUCUUUUCUUAUUUUAAAAUAUUGUUAAAGAAAAAUCAAUUAAAGCUAGAAUCAAGAAGAGGUUAUUUAAAUAAUGCUUGAUAUAGGGUUGAUAUCUAUAGAAUUCAAGUGGAAUACUAACGGCGAAGGCUUUUUUCCAAUAAUGAUUGACGCUGAGAAACUAAGGUGAGGAUAGAAAAAAGGAUUAGAGACCCUCGUAUCCCUCACUGUCAACGAUGAAUGGUAGUUACUAGAAAAAAUUAAUCUAGAGACGAUGUUAACACGUAAACCAUUCCGCCUUGUGAGUACGACUGCAAAGUUGAAAACAAAAAAAUUAGUCGGUUUCGGAGCAAACGAAGUGAAGCAUGUUAUUUAAUUAAUAAAUCCCGCAA